rnacentral:lncRNA from 1 species
CUUAGGUAACACAGGAAACUCAGCACAGGAGCUGAUCCAGGAUGUCUGAUGCCUGAAUCUGUAAUUCCCACUGAGAUCGAACUUCCAGUGACUCCAGAAAAGGACGGCAGCAUGACCAUCCUUUCCUGUUCAGCCAAACACCUUAACUAGAAUUAUUCAAGUUUAAAGCAAAAUUUCAGCAGUAACUGAAAUGCUUGCAGAAUACACGAACAACAGCGCCCUCUGCACCUGAAACCCCUCCGGUUAUUAAACCCAGACGUUCCUACGUGCUGGAGGAGCCUUUAAUUUCAAUUACUGCUUUUUUCAGCUGCUGCAGUAAACAUCACACUGAACCAUGGGGGGGACCUGGUCAUGAGCAAAUCACAAACAGACUGUCUCGACUGGCAGAAAAUCAAGCACCAACAUUUCAUCAGUGGAGGAACUCUUCUCUCCAGAGAUUUAUAUUCUAACCAGCAGAGCCAUAGAUAUUUCUGGUGUUAUAUUUGGCUAAAAUCUCACCACCAAUCUCAGCUUCUGGCAUGGAAGGAAAGAAAUCCAUUCCCAAGGGGCACAGAAAGGAUGCAAACCUCAAGGCAAGACCCAACCCUUGCAGCCUUUGUGCGAGGUGAAGAAAAUGAAGGAAGUGAAUAA